GCUGUUCAACCACACUAACCUGUAGGCCACCAUCUCCACAUGACUCGGACGACGAGGAUGAUUGACAGCUGUCAAAUCAACCAAUCAAAUCAAGCAAUAAAUCAUUUUGACGAAUCCAUCCUUAUAACCAACGACAUAGACAUCGGCACCAUUCCCCCACAUCACAGUGUCACCCCUUUCCACAUGGACACCACAAGGCGGCAGAUGAGGAGAUGA
ensembl:lncRNA